CGCCAGACUCCUACGGGAGGCAGCAGUGAGGAAUAUUGGUCAAUGGGCUUACGCCUGAACCAGCCAAGUCGCGUGAGGGAAGACUGCCCUAUGGGUUGUAAACCUCUUUUGUCAGGGAGCAAUUGGCGCUACGUGUAGCGUUAUCGAGAGUACCUGAAGAAAAAGCAUCGGCUAACUCCGUGCCAGCAGCCGCGGUAAUACGGAGGAUGCGAGCGUUAUCCGGAUUUAUUGGGUUUAAAGGGCGCGUAGGCGGAAUGCCAAGUCAGCGGUAAAACCGCGGGGCUCAACCUCGCUCCGCCGUUGAAACUGGCGUCCUUGAGUGGGCGAGAAGUAUACGGAAUGCGUGGUGUAGCGGUGAAAUGCAUAGAUAUCACGCAGAACCCCGAUUGCGAAGGCAGCCUUCCGGCGCCCUACUGACGCUGAGGCACGAAAGUGCGGGGAUCGAGCAGGAUUAGAUACCCUAGUAU
rnacentral:rRNA from 1 species